rnacentral:lncRNA from 1 species
AUGUUAACAUUUGCACUCGCAGCUAGAAGCAUCUUACUGACAAGGCACAAGAAGAUCUGCAAUUUCCCUCUUCCUCUCUGUGAGGCAGGGAGAGAGCAGGAUCCAAGUGAGGUGCCCAUCAAAGAUGAGGCUUUGGUGCAAUGAAAGAUGCCAUUUCCCAGGCUAUGGAGAAGUUUCCAGGUAAGGACAGGUAGGCUGUUUCUAAUGUCUCAGAGUAACUUCAGUUGGGAAAGGAAUUGACUCUGUCCCAGAUUGCACUGCUCCAGGCAGAUAAAGAAACUGAUCCCAUUCAGAAACUACUAUUUCCUUUUUUUGUCUUUUUUCUUUUGAGGAAGACUAGCCCUGAGCUAACAUCUGCUGCCAAUCCUCCUCCUUUUGCUGAGGAAGAUAAGCCCUGAGCUAACAUCCAUG